GACGAACCGUGCGAACGUUGUUCGGAAUCACUGGGCUUAAAGGGCGCGUAGGCGGGCUGUCAAGUCUGGGGUGAAAUGCUGCGGCUCAACCGUAGAACUGCCUUAGAUACUGACGGCCUCGAGGAAGGUAGGGGCAUGCGGAACUGUAGGUGGAGCGGUGAAAUGCGUUGAUAUCUACAGGAACUCCGGUGGCGAAAGCGGCGUGCUGGACCCUUUCUGACGCUGAGGCGCGAAAGCCAGGGGAGCGAACGGG
rnacentral:rRNA from 1 species